rnacentral:rRNA from 1 species
GAUGAACGCUGGCGGCGUACUUAACACAUGCAAGUCGAACGGAAAGGCCGAAGCUUGCUUCGGUACUCGAGUGGCGAACGGGUGAGUAACACGUGGGUGAUCUGCCCUGUACUUCGGGAUAAGCUUGGGAAACUGGGUCUAAUACCGGAUAUGACGAUCUCUUGGAUGGGGUUGUGGAAAGCUUUUGCGGUAUGGGAUGAGCUCGCGGCCUAUCAGCUUGUUGGUGGGGUAAUGGCCUACCAAGGCGUCGACGGGUAGCCGGCCUGAGAGGGUGUACGGCCACAUUGGGACUGAGAUACGGCCCAGACUCCUACGGGAGGCAGCAGUGGGGAAUAUUGCACAAUGGGCGCAAGCCUGAUGCAGCGACGCCGCGUGGGGGAUGACGGCCUUCGGGUUGUAAACUCCUUUCGCAAUCGACGAAGCCUUUUGGUGACGGUAGGUUGAGAAGAAGCACCGGCUAACUACGUG